rnacentral:rRNA from 1 species
AGUGAACGCUGGCGGUAGGCCUAACACAUGCAAGUCGAACGGCAGCACAGUAAGAUCGUGCUCUUACGGGUGGCGAGUGGCGGACGGGUGAGGAAUACAUCGGAAUCUACUUUUUCGUGGGUGAUAACGGAGGGAAACUUACGCUAAUACCGCAUACGACCUACGGGUGAAAGCAGUGGAUCUUCGGACCUUUCGCGAUUGAAUGAGCCGAUGUCGGAUUAGCUAGUUGGCGGGGUAAAGGCCCACCAAGGCGACGAUCCGUAGCUGGUCUGAGAGGAUGAUCAGCCACACUGGAACUGAGACACGGUCCAGACUCCUACGGGAGGCAGCAGUGGGGAAUAUUGGACAAUGGGCGAAAGCCUGAUCCAGCCAUACCGCGUGGGUGAAGAAGGCCUUCGGGUUGUAAAGCCCUUUUGUUGGGAAAGAAAAGCAGCAGGUUAAUACCCCGCUGUUCUGACGGUACCCAAAGAAUAAGCACCGGCUAACUUCGUG